rnacentral:rRNA from 1 species
CUUUGGGAUAACCCUCGGAAACGGGGGCUAAUACCGGAUAUUCAUGGCUGGCCGCAUGGUUGGUUGUGGAAAGUUUUUCGGCUAGGGAUGGGCUCGCGGCCUAUCAGCUUGUUGGUGGGGUGAUGGCCUACCAAGGCUUCGACGGGUAGCCGGCCUGAGAGGGCGACCGGCCACACUGGGACUGAGACACGGCCCAGACUCCUACGGGAGGCAGCAGUGGGGAAUAUUGCACAAUGGGCGGAAGCCUGAUGCAGCGACGCCGCGUGAGGGAUGACGGCCUUCGGGUUGUAAACCUCUUUCAGCAGGGACGAAGCGCAAGUGACGGUACCUGCGGAAGAAGCGCCGGCCAACUACGUGCCAGCAGCCGCGGUAAGACGUAGGGCGCGAGCGUUGUCCGGAUUUAUUGGGCGUAAAGAGCUCGUAGGCGGCUUGUCGCGUCGACUGUGAAAACCUGCGGCUUAACCGUGGGCUUGCAGUCGAUACGGGCAGGCUCGAGUUCGGUAGGGGAGACUGGAAUUCCUGGUGUAGCGGUGAAAUGCGCAGAUAUCAGGAGGAGCACCGGUGGCGAAGGCGGGUCUCUGGGCCGAUACUGACGCUGAGGAGCGAAAGCGUGGGGAGCGAACAGGAUUAGAUACCCUGGUAGUCCACGCUGUAAACGUUGGGCGC